UACGUAGGGGGCAAGCGUUGUCCGGAAUCAUUGGGCGUAAAGCGCGUGUAGGCGGCUGACUAAGUCCGCUCUGAAAGCCCGGGGCUCAACCCCGGGAGGCGGGUGGAUACUGGUCAGCUCGAGUCCGGAAGAGGAGUGUGGAAUUCCUGGUGUAGCGGUGAAAUGCGCAGAUAUCGGGAGGAACACCAAUGGCGAAGGCAGCUCGCUGGGACGGUACUGACGCUGAGGCGCGAAAGCGUGGGGAGCAAACAGG
rnacentral:rRNA from 1 species